UAAUGCAAGUCGAGCGAACAGAUAAGGAGCUUGCUCCUUUGACGUUAGCGGCGGACGGGUGAGAACACGUGGGUAACCUACCUAUAAGACUGGGAUAACUUCGGGAAACCGGAGCUAAUACCGGAUAACAUUUGGAACCGCAUGGUUCUAAAGUGAAAGAUGGUUUUGCUAUCACUUAUAGAUGGACCCGCGCCGUAUUAGCUAGUUGGUAAGGUAACGGCUUACCAAGGCGACGAUACGUAGCCGACCUGAGAGGGUGAUCGGCCACACUGGAACUGAGACACGGUCCAGACUCCUACGGGAGGCAGCAGUAGGGAAUCUUCCGCAAUGGGCGAAAGCCUGACGGAGCAACGCCGCGUGAGUGAUGAAGGGUUUCGGCUCGUAAAACUCUGUUAUUAGGGAAGAACAAACGUGUAAGUAACUGUGCACGUCUUGACGGUACCUAAUCAGAAAGCCACGGCUAACUACGUGCCAGCAGCCGCGGUAAUACGUAGGUGGCAAGCGUUAUCCGGAAUUAUUGGGCGUAAAGCGCGCGUAGGCGGUUUCUUAAGUCUGAUGUGAAAGCCCACGGCUCAACCGUGGAGGGUCAUUGGAAACUGGGAAACUUGAGUGCAGAAGAGGAAAGUGGAAUUCCAUGUGUAGCGGUGAAAUGCGCAGAGAUAUGGAGGAACACCAGUGGCGAAGGCGACUUUCUGGUCUGUAACUGACGCUGAUGUGCGAAAGCGUGGGGAUCAAACAGGAUUAGAUACCCUGGUAGUCCACGCCGUAAACGAUGAGUGCUAAGUGUUAGGGGGUUUCCGCCCCUUAGUGCUGCAGCUAACGCAUUAAGCACUCCGCCUGGGGAGUACGACCGCAAGGUUGAAACUCAAAGGAAUUGACGGGGACCCGCACAAGCGGUGGAGCAUGUGGUUUAAUUCGAAGCAACGCGAAGAACCUUACCAAAUCUUGACAUCCUUUGAAAACUCUAGAGAUAGAGCCUUCCCCUUCGGGGGACAAAGUGACAGGUGGUGCAUGGUUGUCGUCAGCUCGUGUCGUGAGAUGUUGGGUUAAGUCCCGCAACGAGCGCAACCCUUAAGCUUAGUUGCCAUCAUUAAGUUGGGCACUCUAGGUUGACUGCCGGUGACAAACCGGAGGAAGGUGGGGAUGACGUCAAAUCAUCAUGCCCCUUAUGAUUUGGGCUACACACGUGCUACAAUGGACAAUACAAAGGGCAGCUAAACCGCGAGGUCAUGCAAAUCCCAUAAAGUUGUUCUCAGUUCGGAUUGUAGUCUGCAACUCGACUACAUGAAGCUGGAAUCGCUAGUAAUCGUAGAUCAGCAUGCUACGGUGAAUACGUUCCCGGGUCUUGUACACACCGCCCGUCACACCACGAGAGUUUGUAACACCCGAAGCCGGUGGAGUAACCAUUUAUGGAGCUAGCCGUCGAAGGUGGGA
rnacentral:rRNA from 1 species